rnacentral:piRNA from 1 species
UUGGUCGCAGUUGAAUGCUGUGUA